rnacentral:rRNA from 1 species
AACGAACGCUGGCGGCAGGCCUAACACAUGCAAGUCGAACGCUGUAGCAAUACAGAGUGGCAGACGGGUGAGUAACGCGUGGGAACAUGCCCUUCGGUUCGGAAUAACUCAGGGAAACUUGAGCUAAUACCGGAUACGCCCUUAGGGGGAAAGAUUUAUUGCCGAAGGAUUGGCCCGCGUCCGAUUAGCUAGUUGGUGAGGUAAUGGCUCACCAAGGCGACGAUCGGUAGCUGGUCUGAGAGGAUGAUCAGCCACACUGGGACUGAGACACGGCCCAGACUCCUACGGGAGGCAGCAGUGGGGAAUAUUGGACAAUGGGCGCAAGCCUGAUCCAGCCAUGCCGCGUGAGUGAUGAAGGCCCUAGGGUUGUAAAGCUCUUUCGCCAGGGACGAUAAUGACG